UUGUAGCAGAGUUGACAAAGCGUUUGGCUUUCGCCCGGGAGGCACGGGGUUCGAUCCCC
rnacentral:tRNA from 1 species